rnacentral:rRNA from 1 species
UGGGGAAUAUUGCACAAUGGGCGCAAGCCUGAUGCAGCCAUGCCGCGUGUGUGAAGAAGGCCUUCGGGUUGUAAAGCACUUUCAGCGAGGAGGAAGGGUGGUGUGUUAAUAGCGCAUCACAUUGACGUUACUCGCAGAAGAAGCACCGGCUAACUCCGUGCCAGCAGCCGCGGUAAUACGGAGGGUGCAAGCGUUAAUCGGAAUUACUGGGCGUAAAGCGCACGCAGGCGGUUUGUUAAGUCAGAUAUGAAAUCCCCGCGCUUAACGUGGGAACUGCAUUUGAAACUGGCAAGCUAGAGUCUUGUAGAGGGGGGUAGAAUUCCAGGUGUAGCGGUGAAAUGCGUAGAGAUCUGGAGGAAUACCGGUGGCGAAGGCGGCCCCCUGGACAAAGACUGACGCUCAGGUGCGAAAGCGUGGGGAGCAAACA